rnacentral:ncRNA from 1 species
AGGGCAAAACUGGUGAAAGCCAGUGACGCAAAGCUAUAGGGCCUGUAAAAUGGCAGCCAGUUGCA